CCUACGGGGAGCAGCAGUGGGGAAUAUUGCACAAUGGGGGAAACCCUGAUGCAGCGACGCCGCGUGAGUGAAGAAGUAAUUCGUUAUGUAAAGCUCUAUCAGCAGGGAAGAAAAUGACGGUACCUGAGUAAGAAGCCCCGGCUAACGACGUGCCCGCAGCCGCGGUAAUACGUAGGGGGCAAGCGUUAUCCGGAUUUACUGGGUGGAAAGGGAGCGUAGACGGCAGUGCAAUUCUGGAGUGAAAGGCGGGGGCUCAACCCCCGGACUGCUCUGGAAACUGUACGGCUGGAGUGCAGGAGAGGUAAGUGGAAUUCCUAGUGUAGCGGUGAAAUGCGUAGAUAUUAGGAGGAACACCAGUGGCGAAGGCGGCUUACUGGACUGUAACUGACGUUGAGGCUCGAAAGCGUGGGGAGCAAACAGGAUUAGAUACCCCGGUAGUC
rnacentral:rRNA from 1 species